UGAGCUGGCCGGGUGAUCGCGGCUCCCCGAACUCCAUACGAAUGUAGGGAAGCGGGGGUCGAGGAAAGUCCGGACUCCACAGGGCACGGUGGUUGCUAACGGCAACCCGAGGCAACUUGCGGGAAAGUGCAACAGAAAGUAGACCGCCCACGGGCAAACGUGGGUAAGGGUGAAAGGGUGCGGUAAGAGCGCACCGGCGCGCGUGGUGACACGCACGGCCAGGUAAACCCCACUGGGAGCAAGGCAAGAAACUGCGCACACUGCGCGGUUAUUCGGACGCUACGAGGCUGCCCGCCCAAGUCCGAAGGUAGCUGCUUGAGACACUCAGCGAUGGGUGAUCCAGAUGGAUGAUCGCCGCCCGAAAGGGCACAGAAUCCGGCUUACAGGUCGGCUCAUUCG
rnacentral:RNase_P_RNA from 1 species